CCACAACCCACCUUCUGCGAGUUCUUGAACUCGGGGGUGCAGAAAUUCCGGUAAUAUUGCAGCGACGCGGCGUUCCCGAAGGCGGUCAGCCCCCAGACCCCGCAGGGCCCUGCCCGGCCCCUCCUGAGCCCCCAGGACGUACCCACGACGCCGACCACCACGUAGCCCACGAUGGCCACCACCAGCAGGACGCAGCAGACGAUGUCAGUGCAGCCCCUGCCGGCGGGGACAGCGAGCACGCAGCAGCGAGGGAACCAAACGCCGCCCAAAAAAAGCGUAAUCAGGAGGAAAAACAUCUGCGGAUCUGCUUCCCAGGCUGGGAAACAACGAUUCCCUUGGAAAACUCAUUUCCACAGGUGGCUCUGCCCAAAAAUCUCCCCAGGCUGCGGCGAGAGGGACCCGAAAUCCCAUGGGAACACCAGAGACACCAAAUUCCACGGAAGCACCGAAGAGCUGCGGGGGCAGAGCGGGGCUGAGGGCGGCGAUACCGGGCCGGGGGAGGGGGGAUCACCGGGGGUCCCGCCGAGCCCCGGCCCCGCCGCAGCCUCCCCGGCGCCGCGCCGCUGCUCCGCUUUAUUUUUAGGGUGGGAACGGAGCCAGCGUGGG